GCGACCGGCAACGGAAGCGGCACGGCAAACCCCACCGGGAGCAAGACCAAAUAGGGGCGACACGCCGGGCAACCGGCAGCGGUGUUUCCGCGUCGUCGCCCGGGUCGGUCGCGCGAGGCGUUCGGCAACGGACGUCCCAGAGGAAUGGCCAUCCAUCGUCCCCGGCUUGCCGGGGGCGAGGACAGAACCCGGCUUACAGGCCGUCUGACCCG
rnacentral:RNase_P_RNA from 1 species